AGCGAACGCCGGCGGCAGGCUUAACACAUGCAAGUCGAGCGGGCCUUUCGGGGUCAGCGGCGGACGGGUGAGUAACGCGUGGGAACGUGCCCUCUGGUUCGGAAUAACUCAGGGAAACUUGAGCUAAUACCGGAUACGCCCUUUUGGGGAAAGGCUUGCUGCCGGAGGAUCGGCCCGCGUCUGAUUAGCUAGUUGGUGAGGUAACGGCUCACCAAGGCGACGAUCAGUAGCUGGUCUGAGAGGAUGAUCAGCCACACUGGGACUGAGACACGGCCCAGACUCCUACGGGAGGCAGCAGUGGGGAAUAUUGGACAAUGGGCGCAAGCCUGAUCCAGCCAUGCCGCGUGAGUGAUGAAGGCCUUAGGGUUGUAAAGCUCUUUUAUCCGGGACGAUAAUGACGGUACCGGAGGAAUAAGCCCCGGCUAACUUCGUG
rnacentral:rRNA from 1 species